rnacentral:rRNA from 1 species
GACGAACGCUGGCGGCGUGCUUAACACAUGCAAGUCGAACGGAGUGGCGAACGGGUGAGUAACACGUGGGUGACCUGCCCUGCACUUCGGGAUAAGCCUGGGAAACUGGGUCUAAUACCGGAUAGUGUGGGAUGGGCCCGCGGCCUAUCAGCUUGUUGGUGGGGUAAUGGCCUACCAAGGCGGCGACGGGUAGCCGGCCUGAGAGGGUGGACGGCCACAUUGGGACUGAGAAAGGGCGCAGAGGGCUACGGGGGGCAGCAGUGGGGAACAUUGCACAAUGGGCGGAAGCGUGAUGAGACGACGCCGCGUGGGGGAUGACGGCCUUGGGGGUGUAAACUCCUUUAACCGUAGACGCGGUAGAUGGAGAAGAAGCACCGGCUAACUACGUGCCAGCCGCCGCGGUAAUUC